rnacentral:rRNA from 1 species
UACAGAGGGUGCAAGCGUUGUUCGGAAUCAUUGGGCGUAAAGAGCGUGUGGGCGGCCCGGUAAGUCCGCUGUGAAAGUCGGGGGCUCAACCCUCGAAUGCCGGUGGAUACUGUCGGGCUAGAGUGCGGAAGAGGCGAGUGGAAUUCCUGGUGUAGCGGUGAAAUGCGCAGAUAUCAGGAGGAACACCGAUUGCGAAGGCAGCUCGCUGGGACGUUACUGACGCUGAGACGCGAAAGCGUGGGGAGCAAACAGG